rnacentral:tRNA from 2 species
GGAGCAGUGGCCGAGUGGUUUAAGGCGACGGUCUUGAAAACCGUUGUACCGAAAGGUACCGGGGGUUCGAAUCCCUCCUGCUCCG